GUUUACUUAGUUUAUGAAAAACUCUAGGAUGUGGCCUUAGUGAAACUGAAAAGUAGUUGACU
rnacentral:tRNA from 1 species